AAAAAUCUGCUUGGUCCUCUGUUAUUUCAGGAUCUGCUUCUCUGGCUUUGCUAAAUGGCAGUAAUUCAGCCUUUGAAUUUCUUGAGGAAAAUAAAGUUUGAAUGUCAGGAUAAAGACCAGCGAUUAAGAAGAGGAAAUUUCAGAAAAGGACAUUCAUUAAGACUAAUAGCAGAAAUGCAGAGGUCUAAAAAUUUUGAAGGUAUGAAAAAUACUAAAGUCCUCCAAGAAGAGUAGGUGCUGCCAAAUUGAGAGAAGUUCAACGAAGAGUCCUGACUGACAAAAUGAAGCCUCCAGUGAAGAUUAACUAGAGAUUAUCUAGAAGCAACUUGGAUACUAGAUUUUCUUCUCCCCUCUUUCUGAGACUCAAUUGCUUUCUGUUCUGCUUUCUUGUUUUUUGAAUGAUUAAAUGUUGUUUAAUAUUA